rfam:Colletotrichum tofieldiae strain 0861 Ct_v4_contig125, whole genome shotgun sequence.
ACAUACGACCAUACCCACUGGAAAACUCGGGAUCCCGUCCGCUCUCCCAUAGAUAAGCCAGUGAGGGAAGGCUUGUCUAGAAGAGCGGGAUCCCCUGCUGACUAAGCCGUUGGCCGUUUCGA